rnacentral:rRNA from 1 species
UACAGAGGAGCCAAGCGUUGUCCGGAUUGACUGGGCGUAAAGCGCACGCAGGCGGAUGCGCGCGUGGGGUGUGAAAUCUGGCCGCUUAACGGCCAGGCGCCAUCCCAUACGGCGUGUCUGGAGGGCUGCAGAGGUCGAUGGAAUUGCCGGUGUAGUGGUGAAAUGCGUAGAUAUCGGAAGGAACACCUGUGGCGAAAGCGGCUCACUGGACCAUUACUGACGCUGAGGCACGAAAGCUAGGGGAGCAAACAGG